GACAGAGGAUGCAAGCGUUAUCCGGAAUGAUUGGGCGUAAAGCGUCUGUAGGUGGCUUUUUAAGUCCGCCGUCAAAUCCCAGGGCUCAACCCUGGACAGGCGGUGGAAACUACCAAGCUGGAGUACGGUAGGGGCAGAGGGAAUUUCCGGUGGAGCGUUGAAAUGCGUAGAGAUCGGAAAGAACACCAACGGCGAAAGCACUUUGCUGGGCCGAAACUGACACUGAUAGACGAAAGCUAGGGGAGCGAAUGGG
rnacentral:rRNA from 1 species